CUUUUAUAAAUAUUAUUUGCCAUUUCCGUGAGAUUCCAUUUCUGCAUUCAGAUUGUUUCAAAUUUCUGAGAAGAGAGUUACGUUCGAUUGCGUUAUAUUUAGUAUCUUCUGUGUGCUCCUGAGAGUUCUGCCAAAUAGUCUUCAUUUAUGGACAGAAGGUCACUUUGUAUGAAAGACUCAGUUGGGGCGAUUAGAGGCUCAUAAAAG